rnacentral:lncRNA from 1 species
CUGCCUUGUGAAGAAUGUGUCUGCUUCCCCUUCUGCGAUGAUUUUAAGUUUCCUGAAGCCUCCCCAGCCAUGUGGAGCUGUAUCUCCUUCAAGUUGGCAACUUGUCACCGAGUCUCGCUCUGUCACCCAGGCUGAAGAGCAGUGGCGCCAUCUUGGCUCACUGAAAGCUCCGCCUCUCGGGUUCAUGCCAUUCUCCUGCUUCAGCCUCCUGAGUAGCUGGGACUACAGGCACCCGGCACCACGCCAGUCUAAUUUUGUUUUUGUAUUUUUAAUAGAGACGGAGUUUCACCGUGUUAGUCAGGAUGGUCUUGAUCUCCUGACCUCGUGAUACACCCGCCUCGGCAUCCCAAAGUGCUGAGAUUACAGGCGUGAGCCACUGCACCCAGCCUUGGGAGACUUUUAUGGAACAUUUGUUGUAAUUUUAAAAUAAAUUUACCAAUAUUUUCUUUCUUGUUUUUACUUUUUGGCUGCUUUUAUAGAAGUCCCCCAUUAAAAAAAAAAAAAAAAAACCUUCAGAUGAUAACAAAUAUUCUCCUUCACUUCCUUCUAAAAUUUUAAGUUGUCCUUUUUCACAUUUCAGUCUUCAUUCUACCUGGAAUUGAUUGGGACAUUUGGUGAGAUUCUAAUAACCAUGCCACAUCAAAAUUGUAGGACUACAAUUUCAAUUUUCUUUUGUGUGUUAGAUGACUAAUUCCCAUUGAAUCACUGAUACUUUUCAUAGUGAUUAGUAAUGCCGACUCUGCAAUGUGUCAUGUUUCCACAAAUCUUGGCCCUGAUUCUGAGCUCAUUAUUCUGUUUCUUAGGCAAUUUUAUUACUAUAUCAAUGCCACUGUAUUAAUUACUAGGGAAAUACACUGCUAUCUUGCUUGGCAAUGUUCAUCAUGUCACAAGAACUGUCUUAGAUCUUCUUGGGCUUUAUUCUACCAUAUGCACUUUAAAAUAAAUUUUAUUGUAUUAAUUUUUAAUUAAUAUGAAAAACAGCAACCACC